UGAAAAAAUAGGUCCAGAACAGAGUUC
rnacentral:piRNA from 1 species